UCAUUGCAUUGCCAUUAAAUGCAGGCUGAUGACCGUUGUAGAUGAAACUCAUAAAUCCACGAGUUGUCAUUGUACCAGGUGAUGAAACAUACCCAAUUUGAGAUACUGCAUUGCUAGGAGAGGCAUUAUAUGCACUGAGAUGAGUGGCACAAUUAGGCAUGAUAGAAGCAUUAUAUGCAUUUGGAUAGGACCCAACAGCAAUGGAACAAUUAUACGGUGCACUUUGCAUCCCUUGAGGACAUGGUAAAGAUAAUUUCCACCAGAAAUGCCAUUUUGAGCCAUCAUAUAUAGCAGUUGAAGGAGAUAAAAAGCAUAUCUUUGCUUGGGGAUGAAAAGGUCGGUUUUGCCCUUCCUCUUCUGUGCCUGCAACUCUGAUCGUCAGCCUUCUCUUCGUCGAUACUGUGAGGGUGAAGUUUCAAUUUCGUCCAAGUAAUCCUCGCUUGGCUGCUCAGUCACACAGCGACGGCCAAUUCAUCAAUCCUUCGAUUUUUCAGAUAGAGGUUCUUCUCUUCCUUCUUUUCUGUGUUGCAAGUGUAGUGGCUACCUCUAUCUUUCUCCGUCUGGAAGGUUACCCAGAAUUUGUAAUUGUUCAUUUGGACUAGAAAUGUGGGGAUAUGAUACACAGAUUGGAGAAGCUUCUCUGAAUCAUCUAGAACUGUUCCUAAGAUUCUAUGCAAAAAAAUCUGCAUGUGAUUUUGUUGCCGCUGUUCCUUUGUCUGUUAUUCUGUGCUAUCUUGAUCUACUAUUUUCAUUUAGAUUCUGCGCCAUUCCACCACUUCAUUUUGGGUUUUGUCUCCCUUUUCUCGAGCAUUCGAUUCAAUUCCAUGUUUCAUCUCAAGCUCUUCUCUAUUUGGGAUCCAUAGGCAGAGAGAGUUUGCAUGAUCGAGCCCGGAGUAAAGCAGACUGGAGAUUUGACUAUUUUUCUCUCACAGAUUUGGGUCGUGGUUUGCUGAUCAGUUUUGGUUCUGCUUCUUUUGCUCCAUAUGCAUAGACAGAGAAAGAGAGAAAGGGAAGGAGGCCUUCAACAAAUUUCUUCAAAAUCUCUUUUUGAUUCCUCCUAAAUUUAAUCAUGUGUGAAUGAUUUACAAAUUGGGAUGUGCUAUUGAAUUUCAACGAAUCUGUACACAAUUGUUGGGGUUGCUUGGGUGUUCGGAUGUAUCAAAACCAAAGGAAUCAGCUCAAUUGAUGGAUUGGACCAUGUGUGUUUUUUAUGUUACCUGGUCAGAUAAAUAAUCAAGGAAAGAGAAGAAUGAACAGCAGAACCAGUCUAUCCCAGUGACAAGAUGAAUUUCGGAGGGCUGUGUAUGUGUCUGACAUUGAUCAACAGUAACGGAUGUGUCUGGAUAGAUUGUAGAGGUUGGAGAAGGAGUCAAAAUAAAAGUUCAAAGUGGGAGACAAAGUUGUGAUAAUGCUCAACCCUUCUGUGAUCCUUACAUGCCUUUGUGAGAGUGGAUUGGCACCGGAAUAUCAUCAAAUAUCACCUCAUUUUGGUUUAUGUUGAUGAUGAUUGUGAAUUUCUUUUGUAAACCUAAAAUGUUUACAAAUUGGAAAUCUUUGGCAACAUUUGAAUAUUUAUAACAGACCAUAAAUCUUUUUUUUCUUUGUGUA